rnacentral:rRNA from 1 species
GAUGAACGCUGGCGGCGUGCCUAAUACAUGCAAGUCGAGCGAACGGACGAGAAGCUUGCUUUUCUGAUGUUAGCGGCGGACGGGUGAGUAACACGUGGAUAACCUAUCUAUAAGACUGGGAUAACUUCGGGAAACCGGAGCUAAUACCGGAUAAUAUUUUGAACCGCAUGGUUCAAAAGUGAAAGACGGUCUUGCUGUCGCUUAUAGAUGGAUCCGCGCUGCAUUAGCUAGUUGGUACGGUAAAGGCUUACCAAGGCAACUAUGCAUAGCCGACCUGAGAGGGUGAUCGGCCACACGGGAGCUGAGACACGGUCCAUACUCCUACGAGAGGCAGCAGUAGGGAAUCUUCCGCAGUGGGCGAAAGCCUGACGGAGCAACGCCGCGUCAGUUAUGAAGGUCUUCCGAUCGUAAAACUCGGUUAUUAGGGAUGAACAUAUGUGUAAGUAACUGUGCACAUCGUGACGGUACCUAAUCAGAAAGCCACGGCUAACUACGUG